rnacentral:lncRNA from 1 species
GGGCUGUGGCUACUGUAAUGAGCAGCACAAAUAUACAAUAUUUCCAUUAUUACAUAAAGUUCCAUUCAACAGUGUUGUCCUAGAACAUGCCAGACACAAAGUUAGGUACUUUACACAUAAUUUUCUCUUGCUUCAAAAUUUUCAAACACCUUGGUGAGAAGGACCUCUUGAUCUUCAGAGCACAUUUCCUGGCAGAAAAAAUAAGGCAAGCACAAGGUAAGGUUGCCUUCCACAAGCAAAAGUGAAAAGAACAAAAGCAAUAGCUACAUUUGUUAAGUGCUUAUUGGGUACCCUGUUCUAUUAAUAUUACACUGGUCAUCUGAUUUAAUCUUCACCAUAACCUCAUGAAGAAAUAUUAAUACCCCCAUUUUAUAGAGGAAGAAUUGAGGCAAUAAAUGGCUAAGAACCAUCCAAGGUCACAAGCUAGUAAAUGGUAGAGCCAGGACUUGACCCUGUGCAGUAUAGCAAGAAUUCACAUUCUUAACCACUGUGCCUGUUAGUGUAAGUAAUCUCUCUGGCUUUCUCAUUUAAGUUUCUAAAAAUAAUGAAUUCUUAUACAAUCUUUAGGGUUUUCCUUCUGCAGCUUUUCUGAUCAUUGUAGAAAACAGCCGUACGUAUUACAUAAAAUUAUAGCAUUAAAAAUAAUGAUAU